rnacentral:lncRNA from 1 species
CUGGGACACUGGAAGCACGAUGUAAACUGCCGUUGUGCAGAGAGCCUCGGCUCUUCCUGGCCAGCGUCUGCUGGACCUGCCGGUGGAUCCGGAGCGCCUUCUCCUCCCCGCCCGACAGCUUGAGGCCGGCCUCGGAGGGCAGCGCCAGGCUGGAGCUGUCCAGCUCGCCUAGGAUUUGCUGGCCCAGCACGGUGCGGAUGUAGCCCUGCUCGCCGCCGGGGCCGCGGCCGGCCAUGGGUGCGUGAGGUGGCGGCGCGGGGCCGGGGCCGCGUCGCUCGGAGACCUGUUGCGCCGCCGCUCCCGCGCCGGAGCUCAGGCUGCCGC